UACGUAGGGUGCGAGCGUUAAUCGGAAUUACUGGGCGUAAAGCGUGCGCAGGUGGUUUGUUAAGUCAGAUGUGAAAGCCCCGAGCUUAACUUGGGAACUGCGUUUGAGACUGGCAAGCUAGAGUCUGUCAGAGGGGGGUAGAAUUCCACGUGUAGCAGUGAAAUGCGUAGAUAUGUGGAGGAACACCAGUGGCGAAGGCGCCUUGCUGGACGAAACCUGACGCUGAGGCGCGAAGGCGUGGGGAGCAAACAGGAUUAGAUACCCUGGUAGUCCACGCGGUAAACGAUGAGUGCUAGGUGUCGGAGGGUACCACCUCCGGUGCCGAAGGAAACCCAAUAAGCACUCCGCCUGGGGAGUACGGUCGUAAGACUGAAACUCAAAGGAAUUGACGGGGGCCCGCACAAGCAGUGGAGCAUGUGGUUUAAUUCGAAGCAACGCGAAGAACCUUACCAGGACUUGACAUCGGUGUGAUCGGCGCAGAGAUGCGUCUUCCCUUCGGGGCACACUAGACAGGUGGUGCAUGGUUGUCGUCAGCUCGUGUCGUGAGAUGUUGGGUUAAGUCCCGCAACGAGCGCAACCCUUGAUUUUUGUUACCAGCGCGUGAUGGCGGGGACUCACAAAUGACUGCCGGUGACAAACCGGAGGAAGGCGGGGAUGACGUCAAAUCAUCAUGCCCCUUAUGUUCUGGGCUACACACGUGCUACAAUGGACGGUACAACGGGGAGCGAAAGAGCGAUCUGGAGCCAAACUCUGAAAGCCGUUCGUAGUUCGGAUUGCAGGCUGCAACUCGCCUGCAUGAAGCCGGAAUUGCUAGUAAUCGCGGAUCAGCAUGCCGCGGUGAAUACGUUCCACGGGCCU
rnacentral:rRNA from 1 species